GGUCUCCAGUGGCUGUCUGCACGGUGAAGGUAACAGAUGAGGCAUUCCUCUGCACUCCUGCAAUUUUAGAAAAGCUUCUGAGAACAGCUUUUUCCUGCUGAGAUACAGCACUAUAAAUGUUGCACGGCAGAAUAAGCCAGCCAGCUGACUCUUGCUGAUCAACAAGUUCUGGCAAACUAAAAGCAAGCUAAAAAAAGAGAAAUACAGCCACCUCAAAAGUUGACUACAGCCAGUGUUAACUAUUGCCCAGAAAGAAAAUGGAACGUACUCCAAAAGAAACUCAUGAGGUUCAGCAAGUGCAAAAUCAUGCCCCUGAAAAAUCCCCAUGCAUCAAUUCACGCUGAGCAGCAGCUCUGGCAGAAAGGACCUGAACAUUAUGGGAAGCACUACCUUGAACACCAGCCAACUGUGCACUUGCAUCAUAAAUAAAGAAACCUUAGGAGAAAUGGAGCCAGCAGAUGAAAGUGGUAUUAAUCGCCUUUACUUGGCAUGACUGUAGCUGUACCUGCAGUUUUGUGACUGGCUUUCCUACUUCACGCCCUCUCAAUUCAGGAAAGGUGUUGGAAAAUUGGAAAAGGUCCAUAAAGUGCUACUCAAGAAGGUCAAGGGUCUACAGUAAAUAAACUGUGAGAAGUUGAAUAAACGAGGCUCAUUUAAUAUUAAAAAUAAGGAGUUCCAGGAGCCUACCACUACUGGGAAACCACUUGCAAAGGUUACAGUAAUAAACCCUUUGUAGUACUAAAUGAUCUGGG